CCUCGGCGGGCCCCGCGCCCGCCGACGGCCCCCCUGAACGCUGUCUGAAGUUGCAGUCUGAGACCUAUAACGAAAUUAGUUAAAACUUUCAACAACGGAUCUCUUGGUUCCGGCAUCGAUGAAGAACGCAGCGAAAUGCGAUAACUAAUGUGAAUUGCAGAAUUCAGUGAAUCAUCGAGUCUUUGAACGCACAUUGCGCCCUCUGGUAUUCCGGAGGGCAUGCCUGUCCGAGCGUCAUUGCUGCCCUCAAGCCCGGCUUGUGUGUUGGGCCCCGUCCCCCCCGCCGGGGGGACGGGCCCGAAAGGCAGCGGCGGCACCGCGUCCGGUCCUCGAGCGUAUGGGGCUUCGUCACCCGCUCUAGUAGGCCCGGCCGGCGCCAGCCGACCCCCAACCUUUAAUUAUCUCAGGUUGACCUCGGAUCAGGUAGGGAUACCCGCUGAACUUAAGCAUAUCAAUAA
rnacentral:rRNA from 1 species